rnacentral:misc_RNA from 1 species
CUGAUCAGCUCCUCCCUUCCUGUUUUCAAUUUUUGAAGAGGCUUUUUCAACGACUUCGAUUGUACCAACGGCGAUUUCCUCGGAUCUACGCGGUUUCGAGCGCUUUUGAACGGGUUUCUUCUUCGCAUCGUCAUCUACUUCGGGUUCUUCGUUGGGAAUUUCGAGAAUCGGACCUCGACCGACUCUAAUGUCGCCGCCGGUGAGGGAAAUUGGGGCGAAAGGGCCGAGAAGAAGG